rnacentral:rRNA from 1 species
UCAGGAAUUUUGGGCAAUGGGCGAAAGCCUGACCCAGCAACGCCGCGUGAAGGAUGAAGUAUUUCGGUAUGUAAACUUCGAAAGAAUAGGAAGAAUAAAUGACGGUACUAUUUAUAAGGUCCGGCUAACUACGUGCCAGCAGCCGCGGUAAUACGUAGGGACCAAGCGUUGUUCGGAUUUACUGGGCGUAAAGGGCGCGUAGGCGGCAAUUCAAGUCAUCUGUGAAAUCUCCGGGCUUAACUCGGAACGGUCAGAUGAUACUGCUUUGCUAGAGUGCAGAAGGGGCAAUCGGAAUUCUUGGUGUAGCGGUGAAAUGCGUAGAUAUCAAGAGGAACACCUGAGGUGAAGACGGGUUGCUGGGCUGACACUGACGCUGAGGCGCGAAAGCCAGGGUAGCGAAGAGGAUUAGAUACCCCGGUAGUCCCUGAGCGGGCUGGCAAGGCGCAU